rnacentral:rRNA from 1 species
AACGAACGCUGGCGGCAGGCCUAACACAUGCAAGUCGAGGGGGAAGCCACUUUCGGGUGGUGGAGACCGGCGCACGGGUGAGUAACGCGUGGGAAUUUACCUUGGAGUGGGGGAUAACCGCUGGAAACGGCGGCUAAUACCGCAUACGCCCUUAGGGGGAAAGCUUUAGCGCUCUGGGAUGAGCCCGCGUUAGAUUAGGUUGUUGGUGGGGUAAAGGCCUACCAAGCCUACGAUCUAUAGCUGGUCUGAGAGGAUGAUCAGCCACACUGGGACUGAGACACGGCCCAGACUCCUACGGGAGGCAGCAGUGGGGAAUAUUGGACAAUGGGGGCAACCCUGAUCCAGCCAUGCCGCGUGCGUGAAGAAGGCCUUAGGGUUGUAAAGCGCUUUCACUGGUGAAGAUGAUGACGGUAGCCAGAGAAGA